AACAACUCAGUUGAGAGCUCCGUGACUGGUUCAAGGGAAGGUCAACCAAUGAUUGAUAGGCCAUUCCCUCCCUAUCCGUCUCUUGAUCCCUCAUUCCACUAAUCCGUUGUUACUGAUUCAUUCAAGGCAUAGACUCUCCAUUUCUUUGUCUUAUUAGCGCAGGUGUUCGUCAACGAUGAAAGCUGCUGAACUUCAGACUCGAGUGGAGAAAGAGGGCUAGGCCCCCGGAGGGCUUUCAGGGACUGGGGAAGACGGGUGGAUUAUAGAGCUAGGGUAGGGGCAAAUCGAAGGCCCAUCGGGAUUGGGCAUGGACGAGCCUCGACUGGGCCAGCAUUGAUGAAAAAAGAAAAACUUCCCCCAUCGCAUCAUUAACCGGUGUAGGAUUCAAGAUCAGGUCCAGGAUUCGAGUCAAAUCGACCUUCCCUCUCAUCUCAGGGUGAGGCAAGGAAU
rnacentral:lncRNA from 1 species